AAUGAGAGAAUGACAAAUCAAAUUUUUCCUCUUGAUUUUAAACUUUUUCCGCCUGAAACAAUUUCAAAUCCAACUAAAAAUGUUAAAAAUCAGGAGGAAAAAUUUGAUUUAUCGUUCUUCCAUU
rfam:Gossypium raimondii Chr05_contig_465, whole genome shotgun sequence.